AAAAUAGAAGAUGAUGAGAUGGUGUCCUUCAUACUCGCUUGUCUAGAUGUAGAUUACAACCCAAUAGUGACCUCGGUUAUGGGCAGAUUGGAUCUGAUCCCUCUGUCUAAACUGUAUGCACAAGUUAUGUCAUA
rnacentral:snoRNA from 1 species